GCCGAAGUGGUGGAAUUGGUAGACACGCUAUCUUGAGGGGGUAGUGCUUUAACGGGCGUGCGGGUUCAAGUCCCGCCUUCGGCACCA
rnacentral:tRNA from 1 species